rnacentral:rRNA from 1 species
GACGAACGCUGGCGGCGUGCCUAAUACAUGCAAGUUGAGCGAUGAAGGUUGGUGCUUGCACCAAUUUGAAGAGCAGCGAACGGGUGAGUAACGCGUGGGGAAUCUGCCUUUGAGCGGGGGACAACAUUUGGAAACGAAUGCUAAUACCGCAUAACAACUUUAAACAUAAGUUUUAAGUUUGAAAGAUGCAAUUGCAUCACUCAAAGAUGAUCCCGCGUUGUAUUAGCUAGUUGGUGAGGUAAAGGCUCACCAAGGCGAUGAUACAUAGCCGACCUGAGAGGGUGAUCGGCCACAUUGGGACUGAGACACGGCCCAAACUCCUACGGGAGGCAGCAGUAGGGAAUCUUCGGCAAUGGACGAAAGUCUGACCGAGCAACGCCGCGUGAGUGAAGAAGGUUUUCGGAUCGUAAAACUCUGUUGGUAGAGAAGAACGUUGGUGAGAGUGGAAAGCUCAUCAAGUGACGGUAACUACCCAGAAAGGGACGGCUAACUACGUG